rnacentral:rRNA from 1 species
GACGAACGCUGGCGGCGUGCCUAACACAUGCAAGUCGAACGGGACUUAGUGGAAAGCGGCUUCGGCCAACGGAAGCUAAGUUUAGUGGCGAACGGGUGAGUAACGCGUGAGAAACCUGCCUUUCAGUGGGGGACAACAGUUGGAAACGACUGCUAAUACCGCAUAAUGUGCCGGGAGGGCAUCCUCCUGGUACCAAAGCUUUAUGUGCUGAAAGAUGGUCUCGCGUCUGAUUAGCUAGAUGGCGGGGUAACGGCCCACCAUGGCGACGAUCAGUAGCCGGUCUGAGAGGAUGAACGGCCACAUUGGGACUGAGAUACGGCCCAG